GACUACGAUCGACUCAUCGAGGACAAUCUGGAAGACCUCCGUGACCUAGAGGUAGGGCUAACUUACAAGACCUCUGUAAAGCCCAAGUCGCGUGAGAAGCAGAGGGAGACACUAGGGAACCUCUAGAGGGCUAACUAAGCAGACCCUCAGAAUGUCAUCGAGGAGGACACAAGAUGCCGUAGGUACAUACUGCCUCUCGCCUGAAGAGGAGAAGAGCACAAGAUAUCGUAAGCACAAGAUGCCACAAGCACACGAUGCCUCUCAUGAGGGCUAAUUAACCAGACCCUUAAAACAUCGUCGAAGAGAGCGCAAGAUGCUAUAGGCAUAAAAUGUCGCAGGCACACGCUGCCUCUCGUGUGAAGAUAAGAAGAGUACAAGAUACCGUAGGCAUAAGAUGCCACAGGCACACAUCGUCUCUCGUGUGAAAACAAGAAGAGCACAAGAUGCCGUAGGCACAAGAUACCAUAGACACAUGAUACAUCUCAUGAGGGCUAACUAAGCAGACCCUUAGAACACCGUCGAAGAAAGCACAAGAUGCUAUAGGCACAAGAUGUCGCAAGCACACAUUGCCUCUCGUGUAAAGACGAGAAGAGCAUAAGAUGCCAUAGACACAAGAUACCGCAGGCACAUGUUGCCUCUCACAUGAAAAUCAGAAGAACAUAAGAUACCAUAGGUACAAGAUCCCGUAGGCACAUGAUGCCUCUCAUGAGGGUUAACUAACCAGACCCUCAAAAUACUGUCGAAAAGGGCACA
rnacentral:lncRNA from 1 species